rnacentral:tRNA from 1 species
GUCUCGGUAGUCUAAAGGCUUAGGACGCUCGCACGGAAUGCAAGAGAUCCGGGUUCGACUCUCGGCCGAGGCA